CCAGCUUAGUUUGGUCAAAGUUUAGAUUAACUGAGGACAUGGAAGGGCUUUCAAAGUCUUCAAUCCCUUCCACCUUGAUGGAAGAAGGGCUAAGAAGAGUUCUAGGAGACAACUCCAUGGUUUUGCUCACAGGGCUGGCACUGGCCUUUUCCUCCAGCUUCCUCUUGAGAGUGUUCAUCGUGGACGUGGGAGUUGAAGGGGAAGUGGCCGAGCUUGCCGGAAUCUGAGUCUGCCUGACCUGAAACAACACCUGCUUUUACCGGACCGUGACACUGCCUUGUCAAUGCCUUCAACCUGCCUGCUACCCCCCCUCUUCAGAAUGAUUUUCAACCGUGCAGUUGCUCAGCAGUGUGGAUGAACGAGCACGGAGGCUGAGACCGCCCGACUCAUCCACUCCCUGCAAAGCAAACCCGGUGUAACCCAGUGAAGCAUUAGCGUCCUCACAGGACCGGAGUCCACCCUCGUCCUUCAAGGCUGAACGCAUGAUGAAUGGUGACGAGGUUGCAGAGGUGAGAAUUCUCGUUUCAGAAGCCACUAUUCUUUCCCCCUGCAUGGAGAGGGGGACUUCUAUUACCUUUUUUUUAUUUUUCAUACUCUCAAAUUGCUCUGUAAUUCUAAAGCUUCCUUUGUGAGCUCAAGCUAAGGAGCUGUUCUAAAGUGUUUUAAAAAAUAAAAUCGGCACUUGCUCACUCAUUCCUCUUUCUCUGGAGUAACACAACAGCUCUGCUAUGAUAUGAAAUACUGCAUCCACUGGU